CAGCGGGACGGCGGCGGGGCCGGGGGGGCCGUGGCUGGACGCUGCUGAUGGGGCGGCUGCGGCGUGUGCGCUCCAGGCCGUCUCCUCCCUGUGACCCCGAAGAAAGGGUGCGCUGCCCACCUGUGGAGGCGCAGAGGCUCGCCCCGCUGGCCGCCCACCCGCCUGUCCCGGGAGACACCUGCCCGAGCCGCUCGCCCUGUCACGGGCCGGGCGUGUCCGCGGCGAGAGCGUGAGGAGGCACCGCCUCAGGCAGAGCCCCGCCGCGGGCCAGCCCCGGGCACAGUGGGGCCGUUGUACCGUCAUGGCUCCCGCCCGGCCCUACACCGGCGGCGGGACAGCUCACAGAAAGAAGCUAAGCUUCCAAUAUCCAGAUUUUGCUCUGAAGGGUGUGGAAAACAUGACCUUUAUCAAGUGUUACAGUCCUUUGUGUUCCUGUGUCCAUGUCCGGUUGCGUGGCCAGGUGUAAGAGUGCCCUCUCCUGGGUGGAACAGGACAGUUUGCCUCGCUCGGCUGGCGGAUUCCUCUGACGGGAAGCUUUUCUAGCCUUACAACAGCUCAAGAAGGAUACAAAAGGGAGUUAGAGCUGCCUUAAAAGCCCAGCUGGACAGCUUUUCCUCGCCAACUGGACAUAAUCUUCUCCUCAUGGCCUUAGGAUUUGUGACUGACUAACAAUUGCUGCUAUUUUAAUGACUGUAGGGGCUAAAAUCAGAUCCAGACUGAUACUCAGUAAACCUUCAUUUCAUAAAAGUCACCAGGACUGAAGUAUAUCAGACCUUUUAGCUAGAAGCUUAGAUUUGUUGUUAAGUGCAGCAGUAGCCAAGGAAGUACCUAGAUGCAGUAAGUAAGUAAGAGAAAAGAUAAAAUGGCAGUAAUAUUUUGAAGUGAUUGUUUGAGGGAUGGAGUUAGGAGAUUUGCUUUUGGAAUUAGACCUGGAGCAGCAAAAAGUUGUGAAGCAGUAAUUGAAUGUAUAUGGGAAUCCAGAAUAAAUUAAAAAUAAACCCAC